UCAGGGUGCUUGGGUUGCUCGAAUUCAGUGCAACAAGAUGUUUUACUCAGGAAAUUCGUCUAUUUUUUCUUUAUUUUGGAGAGGUGGUUCUACAUGAUGCUGAUCCCAGUAGGAGGACCUUCAUUCAUUCAUGUUUGAGCCGUGAAUUUUUAGACCCUGUUGUUGCUGCUACACUGACUUUCGAAAUCUUAACAAGAGAAAACUUCUAACUAAUUUUCCUACAUUACUCCCUUAGAUCAGAAAAUUCGUUUCUAAGUGUGCUUCCAGCAUUGAUGUCUCUUGGAUCAUUUGUUCAUCUUAUUUCCAUCUCUCGUUGACUUACCAAGUGAGUUUGUUUUCCAGGAUUCCCUAGUAGUUACAUUAUGCUUCUUUUCGUGUCUUUCUUUCGUGGUUUUCGUCUCUUGCCAUAUUUCACCAAUGAGCAAAAAUGCCUAGGGAUAUGAAAAAAUUUACCAAAAAAUCUACCACUCACAUGGGUGUGGGACCAACACCCAUGUGAGUGUUUGCUAGAACAUUUGGGGUCUUGCAUUAUUGUUCGCCAAUUGAAGUUCUACUUACUCUAUUAACAGUUGCACCGUGUUAUUUUCCUUCCAUUAAUUUAUUGAUCAGUCAAAUAGGCCAUUUUGAAAUGCCUUAAUUAAAUUUGUUCAGAAAUUCAAAAUCUACAUGCUUGGUACUAGUUGGAAAACUGGAUUUUAUUAUUUUGAAUGAAAGCUAGAAAGAAUAAUAUUUCUUAUUCUCAUAUUAAACAAUGUACACACAACACCUCUAUUAAUAGGAGACACAUGGCAUAAAAUAAGGGAUUGAUUAGCUACUGAUUCUGAGGACUGAUAGCUACUAUUUAGUUACUAAUUCUAAUUCUAAAUAAACUUUCCUAUUCUAUAGUAUUGACUAAAUCUAGAUAUUUACAGCUGUGAUAUCCUAAAGAAUUCAGCCAUAUCCUGGCAGAAUUAUUUUCUUCCCAUUUCCAACACUCCCCCUCAAGUUGGCUUGAAUAUGUCUUCCAUGGCCAACUUGUAGAUUAGGUGGUUGAACUGCCUCUUGUUUAGUCCCUUUGUAAGAACAUUUGCUAUCUGCUCCGCAGUGGGUAUAUAAGACAUGUAGAUCAAUUCCUUCUCCAUCUUUUCUUUGAUAAAGUGCUUGUCGACUUCCACAUGCUUAGUUCUGUUGUGAAGAACAAGAUUAUGAGCAAUUGCACUUGCUGCCUUCUUGUUACAGUAAACUUCCAUUGGUGAUGUUCUUGGAAUUUUUAAGUCUUCCAAUAAUCUCUCGAUCCACAAAGCUUUACAAAUUCCAUGAGUCACUGAUCUAAAUUCAGCUUCAGCACUACUUUUAGCCACUACGUUCUGUUUUUUUAGAGGGUCAGAAAUCAAACCCCAAAUUAAGUAUGGGCCUAAGUACUGAGGUCGUCCCAAAGAGGCGACCGGGAAUGAUAAAGGAGCAUGGGCUAAAGUUCAAGGGAAGUGGGCCAACAGUAGGCCGGAGUAGGUCAGACCCGCCAAGGGUCCAAACAGACUCCACGAAGGAAAAUGACCAAGUCAAGUUGCAACGGGAACACAUGCGACGGUCAAGUUGCAGAGGGAAUACAUGCAGCGGGGAAGUUGCCGAGGUACUUUGCCUCAGUGCCGCCAUUCCUAAUAUCUUCGGCUCCGCCGCCAUCCAAAGUUGAUG